rnacentral:rRNA from 1 species
GGCAGGCCUAACACAUGCAAGUCGAGCGAGACCUUCGGGUCUAGCGGCGGACGGGUGAGUAACGCGUGGGAACGUGCCCUUUGCUUCGGAAUAGCCCCGGGAAACUGGGAGUAAUACCGAAUGUGCUCUACGGAGGAAAGAUUUAUCGGCAAAGGAUCGGCCCGCGUUGGAUUAGGUAGUUGGUGGGGUAAUGGCCUACCAAGCCGACGAUCCAUAGCUGGUUUGAGAGGAUGAUCAGCCACACCGGGACUGAGACACGGCCCAGACUCCUACGGGAGGCAGCAGUGGGGAAUCUUAGACAAUGGGGGAAACCCUGAUCUAGCCAUGCCGCGUGAGCGAUGAAGGCCUUAGGGUUGUAAAGCUCUUUCACCGGGGAAGAUAAUGACGGUACCCGGAGAAGAAGCCCCGGCUAACUCCGUGCCAGCAGCCGCGGUAAUACGGAGGGGGCUAGCGUUGUUCGGAAUUACUGGGCGUAAAGCGCACGUAGGCGGAUCAGAAAGUCAGAGGUGAAAUCCCAGGGCUCAACCUUGGAAC